rnacentral:lncRNA from 1 species
GCACCAUACAAAGCAAUGCACAAUGCAAAGUGCACCAGGAAUGCAAUGCACCAUACAAAGCAAUGCAUGGUGCAAAAUGCACAAUGCAAAGGAAUGCACAAUGGAAAGCAAUGCACAAGACAAAAUCCAUGAGCAAGGCAUUGCACAAGGCGAAGUGCACAAAGCACAGCAAAGCACGGUGCAAAGCCAUGCACGAUGCCACGUGCACCAGGGAUGCAGUGCACAACGUAAUGCACACGGCAAAGCGAUGCACGAUGCAAAAUGCACGUGGAGUGCACAGUGCACAAGGCAAAGUGCACACUGCAAAGCAACACGCGGGGGAAAGGAAUGCACGGUGCACAAUGCACGAGGAAGGCGGUGCACAAGGCAAAUGCACAAUGCAAAGUGCAGAAUGCAAAGUAGCGCACGGUGCAAAAUGCACGGGGAAGGCAAUGCGCAAUGCAAACCAAUGCACAAUGCCACGUGCACGUGGAAUGCAAAGCAAUGCACGAUGCGAUGUGCACAAGGAACGCAAUGCAUGGUGCAAGGCACAACUAGUGCACAGUGCAAAGCAGUGCAGAGUGCAAAAUGCAGGGGGGAGGCAAUGCACAAUGCACAGCAACGCACGAUGCCACACGCACGAGAAAUGCAAUGCACGCUGCAGUGCACGGUGCAAGGCAAUGCCCAACGCAAAGCAGCGCAUGGUGCAAAACGCACAAGGAAGGUAGUGUGCAACGCAAAAUGCACAAUGCCCAGCAAUGCACAAUGCCACGUGCACCAGGAAUGCAGUUCACCGUGCAAAGUGCACAAUGCAAAGCAAUGCGCGAUGCAAAGCAGAGCACGGUGCAAAACGCACGGGGAAGGCAGUGCACAAGGCAAAGUGCACAAUGCACAGCAGCGCUCAGUGCACAGCAGUGCACAGUGCACAAUGCACAGGGAAGGCAGUGCACGGUGCAAUGCACAAUGGAAAGCAAUGCACAAUGCCACGUACACCAGGAAUGCAAUUCACCAUGCAAAGUGCACAAUGCAAAGCAGAGCACGGUACAAAAUGCACGGGGAACGCAAUGCACACUGCAAUGCACAAUGGAAAGCAAUGCACGGUGCAAAGUGCACCAGGAAUGCAAUUCACCGUGCAAAGUGCACCAGGAAUGCAAUUCGCCGUGCAAAGUGCACAAUGCAAAGCAAUGCACAAUGCAAAGCAGAGCACGGUACAAAACGCACGGGGGAGGCAGUGCACAAUGCAAAGUGCACAAUGCAAAGCAGUGCACGGUGCAAANNGCACGGGGAAGGCAGUGCACAAUGCAAAGUGCACAAUGCAAAGCAGUGCACGGUGCAAAUUGCACGGGGAAGGCAAUGCAUCCUGCAAAGCAAUGCACGAUGCGAUGUGCACGAGGAAUGCAUGAUGCAGUGCACAAUGGAAAGCAAUGCACAACGCGAUGUGCACGAGGAAUGCAAUUCACAAUACAAAGCGCGCACCGCAAAGCAGUGCACGGUGCAAAGCAGAGCACGGUACAAAGUGCAUGAGGAAGGCAACGCACAAUGCAAAGUGCAAAGUGCACGAUGCAAAGCAGCGCAGGGUGCAAAGCACACAAGGAAGGCAGUGCACAGGGCAAAGCGCACAAUACGAAGUGCACAACGCAAAGCAGUGCACGGUGCAAAACGCACGGGGAAGGCAGUGCACAAUGCAAAGUGCACAAUGCAAAGUGCACAAUGCACAGCAAUGCGCAAUGCGACGCGCACGAGGAAUGCAAUGCACGAUGCGAAGCAAUGCACGACGGCACGUGCACGUGGAACGGAAAGCACGACAUAACGCACUACGGAAACCAACGCACGAUGCGAUGUGCACGAGGAAUGCAAUGCACGGCGCAACGCACGACGCACAAUGCAAAGUGCACAAAGCCAAGCAGUGCAUGCUGCAAAGUGCACGGGGAAGGCAACGCACCGUGCAGAGCGCUGCACGAUAACGAUGUGCACGAGGAAUCCAAUGCACGGUGCAACGCGCAAAGCAACGCCGUGCACAACGCCAUGCACCAUGCAAUGCGCGCACACAGUGCAACGCACCAUACAACAGGAUGCACACUGCAACGCCGUGCACACGGCACGACGCAAUGCACAACACUAGGCCGUGCACAACGCACGGGGCACGUGCAACGCAAAGCAGGGCACGACGCAACGCAGGGCACACGUGCAAUGCACAAUGCAGUGCAGCACACCAUGCACUGUGCACGUGCAACGCGGAGUGCGUGCACAAUGCCACAUGCAGCGCAAUGCACAACGCACAAGUCACGCUGCCGUGGUGCAAAGCACAAUACAAUGCGCCGUGCAAUGCACGGUGCAAGAACCACGCAAAGCACAACGCACCACUCGUGCACGCUGCACACGGCCCCCGUGCAAACGCACGCUCUGCUCGCACACAGCGCAGGGCACAAGGCAACGCGCGUGCAAGCCAACUCCGUGCGCUAUUGGCACGUGACGCCGUGCACGGCGUGCAAAUGCACGCAUGGCGCUCUGCAAAGCGUGCACGCUGCCGGCAGCACCCGUGCAACACGCACACGCAAUGCACACACGGAGCAUGCGUGCUCUGCAAAUGCACGCCAAGGUGCAACGCACGACGCACGCGCAAUGCACACGUGAUGCACGCACAAUGCACGUGGAGUACAGCACACAACGCUCGUGCAAUGCACGUGCCAUGCACAGCUCCCAUGGAAAGCAAGUGUGGAUGCACAAUCCACGUGCAAUGCACAGGGCACACGGAAUGCCAUGCAUGACACACACACAGUGCAAUGCACGCGUGAUGAAUGCACAUUGCA